GCUGGGCAUGGUGGUGCAUGCCUGUAAUCCCAGCUACUUGGGAGGCUGAGGUGGGUGAAUUGCUUGAACCCAGGAGGCAGGGGUCACAGUGAGUCAAUAUUGUGCCACUGCACUCCAGCCUGGGUGACACAGUGAGACUCCAUCUUGG
ensembl:misc_RNA Metazoa_SRP Metazoan signal recognition particle RNA